UACGUAGGGGGCUAGCGUUGUCCGGAUUUAUUGGGCGUAAAGAGCGUGUAGGCGGCCAGGUAGGUCUGCUGUGAAAACUCGAGGCUCAACCUCGAGAUGUCGGCGGAAACCAUCUGGCUAGAGUCCGGAAGAGGAGAGUGGAAUUCCUGGUGUAGCGGUGAAAUGCGCAGAUAUCAGGAAGAACACCCGUGGCGAAGGCGGCUCUCUGGGACGGUACUGACGCUUAGGCGCGAAAGCGUGGGGAGCAAGCAGG
rnacentral:rRNA from 1 species